rnacentral:rRNA from 1 species
GAUGAACGCUGGCGGCGUGCUUAACACAUGCAAGUCGAACGGGAUCCGGGCAGCUUGCUGCCUGGUGAGAGUGGCGAACGGGUGAGUAAUGCGUGACCAACCUGCCCCAUGCUUCGGAAUAGCUCCUGGAAACGGGUGGUAAUGCCGGAUGCUCCGCACCGUCGCAUGAUGGUGUGGGAAAGGGUUUACCGGCAUGGGAUGGGGUCGCGUCCUAUCAGCUUGUUGGCGGGGUGAUGGCCUGCCAAGGCUUCGACGGGUAGCCGGCCUGAGAGGGCGACCGGCCACAUUGGGACUGAGAUACGGCCCAGACUCCUACGGGAGGCAGCAGUGGGGAAUAUUGCACAAUGGGCGAAAGCCUGAUGCAGCGACGCCGCGUGCGGGAUGACGGCCUUCGGGUUGUAAACCGCUUUUGAUUGGGAGCAAGCGAGAGUGAGUGUACCUUUCGAAUAAGCACCGGCUAACUACGUGCCAGCAGCCGCGGUAAUACGUAGGGUGCAAGCGUUAUCCGGAUUUAUUGGGCGUAAAGAGCUCGUAGGCGGUUCGUCGCGUCUGGCGUGAAAGUCCAUCGCUUAACGGUGGAUCGGCGCCGGGUACGGGCGGACUGGAGUGCGGUAGGGGAGACUGGAAUUCCCGGUGUAACGGUGGAAUGUGUAGAUAUCGGGAAGAACACCGAUGGCGAAGGCAGGUCUCUGGGCCGUCACUGACGCUGGGGAGCGAAAGCGUGGGGAGCGAACAGGAUUAGAUACCCUGGUAGUCCACGCCGUAAA